UCCUUUGAGGGUGUUGGCCCACUACUAAUUGAUGUUGCCCCCAUGCAUUGGGCUUUCAUGGAUAGUUGUAGAUCCAUGUUCUUUCUCAGAGGUGUGGACACUAAUUGGUGCUCGGGCCAAACAAAUAAUUUAUUCUUCCCGGAAUUUACUCUUUGUGGUUUGUGCAGCAGCCUUAUAUGUAUCGAAAUGAAUACUAUUAAGUCUUCAUGGGUAUCUGGGUCCUGGUGGAGUUAGUGGCACUCGGGAGUGGGAAUGGGAGAAAGGGGCAGCAUGAUCUUACUAUGCAGACUGUAUUUCCAGAAACCUGCUCAGCCAGCUCCUGAUGGAGAACACAUGUAGGAAGAAGUUGUUCCCACUGAAGCAGGAGAGCAAGGAGGUACAUCUUGAUUGUGCACUGAACCAGAAAUAUUUGGUUGACGUCAACAAGAAAGAUAAAGACCAGCAACGUCCAGACCCAGCAUCAUCUGGUCUCAGAAAGUGCAAGAGAGCUGGAAUUGGACACACCCCAGUAAGAGAGCUUCCUGAAGAAUAAGUUGCUUUCUCAAGAGUCCCUGAUGACAAACAUCCUGAAUGAAAACAGCACUUGAGAGAUAACUUGGGGGACCUCCUUUCAUUAUGUGUGCAAGAGGAGAAACAGCAAUACAUCUGUGCUUCUAAAUGUUCGUUAAGAAUGUGCUGUUUAGAAAUAUUUUUUUAUGAUUUUAAUUGAAAUUUUCUUUUUGUUGUUUCAUAUUUAUAUGUUCUUGUUACUGUUUUUAUCUUUUCACAUAUUUUUAAAUAUUUUAAUUUAUUUGUUUUAA